UACAUCUGUUUGAAUAUAGGGGAACCUUCCUCUAAGCCUUAAUAUAAUAUACAAGUAAUAGAGAAAAGUACUGUGAAGGAAUUUUUGGAAAUAGUAGUCUUAUAAGCAGCUCGAGAUAAGUUUAAUAAACGUAUAAGAGCGUACCUUUUGUAUAAUGGGUCAGCAAGUUCUAGUUAGAUGCAAGCAAAUACUCAGUGUAUAAAAAAAAUUAAAAAAAAAAAAAAAAGAAAUUUGCCUAGAUAAUCCAAUUAUUAAGUAAUGAAUAAGUAUCUAAUUAGAGACCCGAAGAGUAGUGAUCUUACCAUGGUCAGGCUUAUAAAAGGCCGAAUGGGUUAUCGUUGUAAAGAUAUCCAAAGAACUGUGGUAAGUUAGUGAAAGACAAUCCUGACUACUAUAGCUGGUUUUCCGCGAAACAUAUGUAAGUAUGUAGUUUAAAUUACAUCAUAGCAGGUACAGAACUGUAAUCUCGGACAAUUUGUGCAUUUUCAUUUCUAGGGGGAAACCACUAGAGAAUGUAAUGCCUUGUGCAUAUGGGGGGGUCGUGAAGACUCUAUUCGCGAGUAUUUGCUCUCGGAAGGGCAAUGAUGAAUGUUGAACUAUCAGACAUUUAACGAUAAGGUUGGGUGUCAAAAGGGAAACAGCCCAGAACAAGUGUUUAAGGUUCCAAAGUUUUUGUUAAGUGAAAGUAAGGAAGUAUUUAAACGAUACAACCAGGAAAUAGGCUUAGAAGCGGCCAUUUUUUAAAGACCUCGUAACAGAGCACUGGUUCAAAAGGUUAGUAAAAUAACCUAUUAAGUUAAAAGCGCCGAAGAUAUAACGGAUCUAAACAAAACACCGACACCUUGUCCAUAAAAAGACUAGGUUACAUUUGCUGUAGGAAGUUUCGCUGUAUUUACAAAACCCGCAAGUGAGUGGUAUGGGUAAUGAUUAUAAGCAAAAGGUAAUCCUAUGUAAUAUACGUAAACAAUAGUUGCGUGUUAUUUAUGGGGUAGCGGAACAUUGGGUAAAUAGGACUAGAAACAAAGGAAAUAUAAAAGUAUUGUACUAGGAAGAAAAAAGCACUACUAUUAGUAAAUAAUAGCUAGGAGUUGAUGUACAUAAGUUUAAAGAUAAUUACAACGUAGUUUGAGCGCUAUUUAGCGCUAGUCCAGUAUAUCCCAAGCGAGAAUGCUGACACGAGUAACGAAAAAGAGGAUGCCAAUGGCACCUCUCGCCUUAAGCUUAUGGUAAAGUGAUUCGGUCUCUAAAUUUAACCUAAAGGAUAAAAUGAUGAGAAGAUUAGAUGGGACAACAUAAAUAUAUAGAGUAAAAUGUUCUGGAAAAGCAUAAAAUCUAAAUUAGGGAAAAACCACACAUGAAAAAGUGAAGAGAAAAAUUUUAGCUAAUUAGACUAAAAUAGAAUUAAUAUUGUAAAAACAAAUAGAUAAUAAAAAGGAAUUUCCCUUAAUAAUUAAAAAACCGUACCUAAAAACUACCACAAGUAAGCUAGUAGAGAAUACGAAGGCGUUUGAGCUAACAAUCAUUAAGGAACUCGGCAAAAUGACACCGUAACUGAGGGAAAAGGUGUGCCAUUCCUGCUGAUUAAUAUCAGUUUAGGAAGAGGAGACAUAAAAUGGUGUUGCACGACUGUUUAAUUAAAACACAGCACUUUGCGUAAGAUGUAAAUCAAUGUAUAGAGUGCGCUAUCUGCCCAAUGAUGGCUGGUUAACGGAUUUACUUAGGUGACUAAUAUAGUUUAGGUUUUGAAGGAACCCCCAUUGAAUGGCGGCCUUAUCUAUAAGGGUCCUAAGGUAGCGAAAUACCUUGGCAUUUAAAUGAUGUCGCGCAUGAAUGAUCUAACGAUGCAACAGCUGUCUCAAUGAUUGGCUCAGUGAAACUGGAAUGGCAGUGAAGAUACUGCCUAUCUCUAGAUAGACGAGAAGACCCCAUGCAGCUUUACUGUUACUAGUUAUAGGGUAUAGUGAACAGGUUUUAGAGAAUAAGGUAGUUGCAACGACAUAAUUGAAACACCUUUACUCUGGUUGUUAUAUCAGUAGAAUAGGUUACAGAUUUGUAACUGACGUCUGAAUGUAAUCCGUAAAAGGAGAGGCAUCCGUAGAUGCCUCUCAGGAGACAAUGGCUAGCAGAUGGUUUAUGCGGGGCACAGAUCCCAUAAAGAGUACCUGGGA
rnacentral:rRNA from 1 species